AUGGAAUUCAUUCAGUUGUUUCUGUCCUUUCCUUUUCAAGUAGCUGUGUCCCUAUCUGCCUCCUACAGGCAGUACCUGGACAGGUCAGCCUGUGUGUCUGCAGAACUCUCUACUGCUGGGGGACCCUGUCCAGGAUCACUGGAUUGAUGUCACUGGAAGUGAAGGAGAAUUAUCAGAGGAAGAGAGGGCGUGAUUGGCAGCUGGGAGGGAGCAGCCAUCAGAGCUAUGCCUCUCAGGAAAAUGAAGGCUGCAGUUGAUUAUUCACAUUAGAAGGAGAAGUUCCUGUCCUGUCUCUCAUCAAGAAGAUGUCCCAAGUGGAAUGGUUUCUUGAUGAGGAAGCCUUCCCAAAAUUUCCUAUGUGGAAACCUUCCCAAUUUG
rnacentral:lncRNA from 10 species